rnacentral:rRNA from 1 species
AGUGAACGCUGGCGGUAGGCCUAACACAUGCAAGUCGAACGGCAGCACAGUAAGAGCUUGCUCUUACGGGUGGCGAGUGGCGGACGGGUGAGGAAUACAUCGGAAUCUACUUUUUCGUGGGGGAUAACGUAGGGAAACUUACGCUAAUACCGCAUACGACCUACGGGUGAAAGCAGGGGAUCUUCGGACCUUGCGCGAUUGAAUGAGCCGAUGUCGGAUUAGCUAGUUGGCGGGGUAAAGGCCCACCAAGGCGACGAUCCGUAGCUGGUCUGAGAGGAUGAUCAGCCACACUGGAACUGAGACACGGUCCAGACUCCUACGGGAGGCAGCAGUAGGGAAUAUUGGACAAUGGGCGCAAGCCUGAUCCAGCCAUACCGCGUGAGUGAAGAAGGCCUUCGGGUUGUAAAGCCCUUUUGUUGGGAAAGAAAAGCAGCAGAUUAAUACCCCGCUGUUCUGACGGUACCCAAAGAAUAAGCACCGGCUAACUUCGUG